rnacentral:rRNA from 1 species
AUUGAACGCUGGCGGCAGGCCUAACACAUGCAAGUCGAACGGUAACAGGAAACAGCUUGCUGUUUCGCUGACGAGUGGCGGACGGGUGAGUAAUGUCUGGGAAACUGCCUGAUGGAGGGGGAUAACUACUGGAAACGGUAGCUAAUACCGCAUAACGUCGCAAGACCAAAGAGGGGGACCCUCGGGCCUCUUGCCAUCGGAUGUGCCCAGAUGGGAUUAGCUUGUUGGUGGGGUAACGGCUCACCAAGGCGACGAUCCCUAGCUGGCCUGAGAGGAUGACCAGCCACACUGGAACUGAGACACGGUCCAGACUCCUACGGGAGGCAGCAGUGGGGAAUAUUGCACAAUGGGCGCAAGCCUGAUGCAGCCAUGCCGCGUGUAUGAAGAAGGCCUUCGGGUUGUAAAGUACUUUCAGCGGGGAGGAAGGGAGUAAAGUUAAUACCUUUGCUCAUUGACGUUACCCGCAGAAGAAGCACCGGCUAACUCCGUG